AGGAAUAUAUUUUCUUCAGAGUAGGUCACCUGGACAUUCUCAGUUCAUUGUCUCGUACAUUCCUAGUGUGAGCUCUUCCCCACUCCACUCCCUCACAAUAUAAUACUACCAUGUUGAACUCUUGUGCAUUUCACCUUACCUCAUUUUCCUUUGCCCAUACUUAUGCCACAUGUCACUCAAGCCAAAAUAUUCUCUCCUCUAUGACAAACCCCCACACCACUCCCACAGACAAAAUGUCCCCCACCUCCAUUUCUCUCACUUCACUUGCUGUCACUCUAUUUUCCCCCAAAACACUUUCCCCUCCCCACUCCCCCACUUCCUUUCUCCCCCACUUCCUUUCUCCCCCACUUCCUUUCUCCCCCACUUCCUUUCUCCCCCACUUCCUUUCUCCCCCACUUCCUUUCU